UUGCUUUGUCAGCACAUAUACUAAAUUUGGAAUUAUGCGGAGAAGAUUAGCAUGGCCCCUGCACAAGGGUGCCACACAAAUUCAUGAAGUGUUCCAUAUUUUU